AAGUCGUAACAGGGUUUCCGUAGGUGAACCUGCGGAAGGAUCAUUACCGAAUCGUCGACACGAGCUGUUGCUGGCCCUCAAACGGGGGCACGUGCACGCUCUGUCUGCAUCCACUCACACCUGUGCACCCUCUGUAGUUCUGUGGUCCGGGGGAGACUCCUCCUCCUGUCUGCGGUUCUGCGUCUUUACACACACACUGUGACACGGUCUUAUGGAAUGUACGCAGCGUUUAACGCGAUACAAUACAACUUUCAGCAACGGAUCUCUUGGCUCUCGCAUCGAUGAAGAACGCAGCGAAAUGCGAUAAGUAAUGUGAAUUGCAGAAUUCAGUGAAUCAUCGAAUCUUUGAACGCACCUUGCGCCCUUUGGUUAUUCCGAAGGGCAUGCCUGUUUGAGUAUCAUGAACACCUCAACCCUCAUGGCUUGCCAUGAUGGGCUUGGACUUUGGAGGCUUUGCUGGCCUGCGGUCGGCUCCUCUCAAAUGAAUCAGCUUACCGGUGCACGGUGGCGUCGCGGGUGUGAUAACUAUCUACGCUUGCGGUCGUCAGCCGGGUUACCUCCGACCUCGUCGGAGGUUCGUCGGGGGCUCACAGAUGUCUCUCCUCAGCGAAGACGGAUUUCUGAACGUUUGAUCUCAAAUCAGGUAGGACUACCCGCUGAACUUAA
rnacentral:rRNA from 1 species